rnacentral:rRNA from 1 species
AGUAAGGAAUAUUGGUCAAUGGGGGCAAGCCUGAACCAGCCAUGCCGGGUGCAGGAAGACGGCCCUACGGGUUGUAAACUGCUUUUGUACCGGAAUAAACCCUUUUACGUGUAAGAGGCUGAAUGUACGGUAAGAAUAAGGAUCGGCUAACUCCGUGCCAGCAGCCGCGGUAAUACGGAGGAUCCAAGCGUUAUCCGGAUUUAUUGGGUUUAAAGGGUGCGUAGGUGGCUUUUUAAGUCAGGGGUGAAAGACGGUAGCUUAACUAUCGCAGUGCCUUUGAUACUGAAGAGCUUGAAUGAACUAGAGGUAGGCGGAAUGUGACAAGUAGCGGUGAAAUGCAUAGAUAUGUCACAGAACACCAAUUGCGAAGGCCAGCUUACUAUGGUUUUAUUGACACUGAGGCACGAAAGCGUGGGGAUCAAACAGGAUUAGAUACCCUGGUAGUCCACGCCCUAAACGAUGAAUACUCGAUGUUGGCGAUAUACGGUCAGCGUCUAAGCGAAAGCGUUAAGUAUUCCACCUGGGGAGUACGCCCGCAAGGGUGAAACUCAAAGGAAUUGACGGGGGCCCGCACAAGCGGAGGAGCAUGUGGUUUAAUUCGAUGAUACGCGAGGAACCUUACCCGGGCUUGAAAGUUAGUGAAUUGAGCAGAGACGCUCAAGUCCUUCGGGACACGAAACUAGGUGCUGCAUGGCUGUCGUCAGCUCGUGCCGUGAGGUGUUGGGUUAAGUCCCGCAACGAGCGCAACCCCUGUGAAUAGUUGCCAGCACGUAAUGGUGGGGACUCUAUUCAGACUGCCUAUGCAAAUAGUGAGGAAGGAGGGGACGACGUCAAGUCAUCAUGGCCCUUACGUCCGGGGCUACACACGUGCUACAAUGGAUGGUACAGCGGGCAGCUACCUGGUAACAGGAUGCCAAUCUCGUAAAGCCAUUCACAGUUCGGAUCGGGGUCUGCAACUCGACCCCGUGAAGUUGGAUUCGCUAGUAAUCGCAUAUCAGCAAUGAUGCGGUGAAUACGUUCCCGGGCCUUGUACACACCGCCCGUCAAGCCAUGGAAGCUGGAAGUGCCUGAAG